GGCCGCGUGGCGCAAUGGUAGCGCGUUGCUCUCCUAAAGCAAAGGGUUUGGGUUCGAGUCCCAACGUGGUCG
rnacentral:tRNA from 1 species